GGUUGGUCUGGCCUACUGGGCUGACAUUAACUACAAUUAUGGGAAAUGCAAAAGUUGUUUGGAUAUGGUAGUGUGUGGUUCUCUUUUGGAAUUUUUUUCAGGUGAUUUAAUAAUAAUUUAAAACUACUAUAGAAACUGCAGAGCAAAGGAAGUGGCUUAAUGAUCCUGAAGGGAUUUCUUCUGAUGGUAGCUUUUGUAUUAUCAAGUAAGAUUCUAUUUUCAGUUGUGUGUAAGCAAGUUUUUUUUUAGUGUAGGAGAAAUACUUUUCCAUUGUUUAACUGCAAAACAAGAUGUUAAGGUAUGCUUCAAAAAUUUUGUAAAUUGUUUAUUUUAAACUUAUCUGUUUGUAAAUUGUAACUGAUUAAGAAUUGUGAUAGUUCAGCUUGAAUGUCUCUUAGAGGGUGGGCUUUUGUUGAUGAGGGAGGGGAAACUUUUUUUUUUUCUAUAGACUUUUUUCAGAUAACAUCUUCUGAGUCAUAACCAGCCUGGCAGUAUGAUGGCCUAGAUGCAGAGAAAACAGCUCCUUGGUGAAUUGAUAAGUAAAGGCAGAAAAGAUUAUAUGUCAUACCUCCAUUGGGGAAUAAGCAUAACCCUGAGAUUCUUACUACUGAUGAGAACAUUAUCUGCAUAUGCCAAAAAAUUUUAAGCAAAUGAAAGCUACCAAUUUAAAGUUACGGAAUCUACCAUUUUAAAGUUAAUUGCUUGUCAAGCUAUAACCACAAAAAUAAUGAAUUGAUGAGAAAUACAAUGAAGAGGCAAUGUCCAUCUCAAAAUACUGCUUUUACAAAAGCAGAAUAAAAGCGAAAAGAAAUGAAAAUGUUACACUACAUUAAUCCUGGAAUAAAAGAAGCCGAAAUAAAUGAGAGAUGAGUUGGGAUCAAGUGGAUUGAGGAGGCUGUGCUGUGUGCCAAUGUUUCGUUUGCCUCAGACAGGUAUCUCUUCGUUAUCAGAAGAGUUGCUUCAUUUCAUCUGGGAGCAGAAAACAGCAGGCAGCUGUUAACAGAUAAGUUUAACUUGCAUCUGCAGUAUUGCAUGUUAGGGAUAAGUGCUUAUUUUUAAGAGCUGUGGAGUUCUUAAAUAUCAACCAUGGCACUUUCUCCUGACCCCUUCCCUAGGGGAUUUCAGGAUUGAGAAAUUUUUCCAUCGAGCCUUUUUAAAAUUGUAGGACUUGUUCCUGUGGGCUUCAGUGAUGGGAUAGUACACUUCACUCAGAGGCAUUUGCAUCUUUAAAUAAUUUCUUAAAAGCCUCUAAAGUGAUCAGUGCCUUGAUGCCAACUAAGGAAAUUUGUUUAGCAUUGAAUCUCUGAAGGCUCUAUGAAAGGAAUAGCAUGAUGUGCUGUUAGAAUCAGAUGUUACUGCUAAAAUUUACAUGUUGUGAUGUAAAUUGUGUAGAAAACCAUUAAAUCAUUCAAAAUAAUAAACUAUUUUUAUUAGAGAAUGUAUACUUUUAGAAAGCUGUCUCCUUAUUUAAAUAAAAUAGUGUUUGUCUGUAGUUCAGUGUUGGGGCAAUCUUGGGGGGGAUUCUUCUCUAAUCUUUCAGAAACUUUGUCUGCGAACACUCUUUAAUGGACCAGAUCAGGAUUUGAGCGGAAGAACGAAUGUAACUUUAAGAGGCAUUUCAUCCUUCAUGAAGCCAUUCAGGAUUUUGAAUUGCAUAUGAGUGCUUGGCUCUUCCUUCUGUUCUAACUUCACAGAGAAUGCAGUUGUCUUGACUUCAGGUCUGUCUGUUCUGUUGGCAAGUAAAUGCAGUACUGUUCUGAUCCCGCUGCUAUUAGAAUGCAUUGUGAAACGACUGGAGUAUGAUUAAAAGUUGUGUUCCCCAAUGCUUGGAGUAGUGAUUGUUGAAGGAAAAAAUCCAGCUGAGUGAUAAAGGCUGAGUGUUGAGGAAAUUUCUGCAGUUUUAAGCAGUCGUAUUUGUGAUUGAAGCUGAGUACAUUUUGCUGGUGUAUUUUUAGGUAAAAUGCUUUUUGUUCAUUUCUGGUGGUGGGAGGGGACUGAAGCCUUUAGUCUUUUCCAGAUGCAACCUUAAAAUCAGUGACAAGAAACAUUCCAAACAAGCAACAGUCUUCAAGAAAUUAAACUGGCAAGUGGAAAUGUUUAAACAGUUCAGUGAUCUUUAGUGCAUUGUUUAUGUGUGGGUUUCUCUCUCCCCUCCCUUGGUCUUAAUUCUUACAUGCAGGAACACUCAGCAGACACACGUAUGCGAAGGGCCAGAGAAGCCAGACCCAGUAAGAAAAAAUAGCCUAUUUACUUUAAAUAAACCAAACAUUCCAUUUUAAAUGUGGGGAUUGGGAACCACUAGUUCUUUCAGAUGGUAUUCUUCAGACUAUAGAAGGAGCUUCCAGUUGAAUUCACCAGUGGACAAAAUGAGGAAAACAGGUGAACAAGCUUUUUCUGUAUUUACAUACAAAGUCAGAUCAGUUAUGGGACAAUAGUAUUGAAUAGAUUUCAGCUUUAUGCUGGAGUAACUGGCAUGUGAGCAAACUGUGUUGGCGUGGGGGUGGAGGGGUGAGGUGGGCGCUAAGCCUUUUUUUAAGAUUUUUCAGGUACCCCUCACUAAAGGCACCGAAGGCUUAAAGUAGGACAACCAUGGAGCCUUCCUGUGGCAGGAGAGACAACAAAGCGCUAUUAUCCUAAGGUCAAGAGAAGUGUCAGCCUCACCUGAUUUUUAUUAGUAAUGAGGACUUGCCUCAACUCCCUCUUUCUGGAGUGAAGCAUCCGAAGGAAUGCUUGAAGUACCCCUGGGCUUCUCUUAACAUUUAAGCAAGCUGUUUUUAUAGCAGCUCUUAAUAAUAAAGCCCAAAUCUCAAGC
ensembl:lncRNA MALAT1 metastasis associated lung adenocarcinoma transcript 1